rnacentral:tRNA from 1 species
GCCGGAAUGGUGAAAUGGCAGACACGGGGGACUUAAAAUCCCCUGGCCGCAAGGCCGUGCGGGUUCAAGUCCCGCUUCCGGCA